AGCAACCCUGCACAGAGGGAAAGAAGAAUCUCAACAUACAGUCCUCAGCAGCUUUAGCAUGGGCAACAAAUUAAGUCUCUGUAAAAGGCCCAAAGGACAGGGUUUGGUGAGAUUCUGGAGAGCUGGAAACAUGGAGGUUGACAGGAAUGUAAAGAAGAACUCAUUUACAUGCCAGGAGGGUGGAACACCCCAAUUCCAUGAGGAUAACUGCUCCUGUACUCCAGACCUCACCCCAUGUGUCUCUUCAUCUGGCUGGUUAUUUGUCCUUUAAGAUCUCCUUACUCAACCAGUAAAUGUACUCUUAUAAGGAAUAGAGGAGAAGAGAAAAGAAGAGAAGACAAGAGAAGAGAAAGAGAAGAUUGCAAGAAGGGAAGACAAGAGAAGAGAAAGAGAAAGAGAAGAAGACAAGAGAAGAGAAAGAGAAAGAGAAGAUGCGAAAUAGACGCAUGCAUUUAUUGAAUUUUAAUUUAUGACAGAAGUAGCAUAGUCAAUAACUGAGGAGUGGAAGGACAAUAUAAUCAGAUAAAUUGAAAAAUGCUUAUUGACAUGGAAAUAUCAAAGGAAAAAUAUACCAUGUGCCCACUGAUAAAAAAUAAAUGGAAUAUUCAUGAAAGGUCCCAAUUACUGUUACAAUAAUUUUUUAAAUAAUUAGGCAUUUGGAUUUUAUGUGCUUUUUGAUUUGAGUAGUUUAAAGUGUUUUAAAUAACAUUAAAUAUUAUUAUAAUUAUAAUAAUUAUUAUUUUUGAGACCGAGUCAUCUUGCUCUAUUGCCCAGGCUCUAGUUCAGUGGUGCGAUCUCAACUCACUGCAACCUCCGCCUCCUAGGUUCAAGUGAAUCUCAUGCCUCAGCCUCCUGAGUAACUGGGACUACAGGCAUGUUCCACUACACCUGGAUAAUUUUUGUGUUUUUGUAGUAGAGACUGGGUUUCUCCAUGUUGGCCAGGCUGGUCUUGAACUCCUGACCUCAAGUGAUAUGCUUGCAUUGACCUCCCAAAGUGCUGAGAUUCCAGGUGUGAGCCACUGCACCCGGUCCAUUAAAUAUUAUUUUAAUUAUAUUAGGUCAAAUAUUUUUGUUUCUUUCCUGAAUUUUAACACUAUUUAGAAUGAGUACAUAGUUGUUAGCUAAUAAAAUCUGUAGUUCAAAAAUUAUUUUGUGACUUACUGAGCAUUUCACUUGAUCAAUUUUUAUAAAUGUUUCAUGAUCUCUUAAAAAGAAAUGUAAGUAGCAUGUUAUAGUAGUAUCUUCCGUCAUCAUAAUAGUAUGUUCUAUAUGUAUCAUGUGUCAUACUUCUGUCAUUUUUGUUUUAUUAGUGCUUUGCUUAUUUCACAGAUUCUGCUUUUGUUUAUUUGUUUCUUAAUAAACUUUCUAAAUCUGCUAGUUUGGGAGGUUUCGACUUUCAUAUUGGUGCACAUUUAACUUUAUAUAAUAUGCUUGAUCAUCUAUUUACUGAUGCAUAGACUUCAGAGAGUGUCUUCUCUUAACUAUCCACUUUGAUCGAUGAAAAAAUAACGACCACUCCUGAUUUUAGUAGUUUUGUUGGUUUUCAUAUAUAUGAAAUGCUACUGUAUGAAUAAAAAUCAAAUGUAGAUCUAUUUUUCUAUUGUUUCUUCCCCAGUGAUACUUUUCAGAUAAGAAUAUGGGCAAA
rnacentral:lncRNA from 1 species